AUGGAGGUUAGUAUGAGGCUUGGGAUUGCUACCGUGAUGGGGCGAGGGAGGUAUGGCGGUGGGGGCAGAUGUCAUAGGCGAAGGGGAUCGAGAUACGGAUAUGCUCGUACCCCUUCCAAUCUGCGCCCCAUCCCGAGGGACAAGGGUAGGGUGAGCAAGGAUUACUCACCUCCUUCACUGGUGUUGUGCAAUGCCAGGUCUAUAGGCAACAAAACCGCCACCCUGCGAGAUUUCUUUAUCUCGCUGGGGGUCGACCUGGCUUGUGUGACGGAGACCUGGGUGCACGAAGGGGUAACUGUUACCUUACGAGAGAUGGCGCCCCCGGGUUUCUCCGUCCUCCACCAGUCACGGACUGUGGGCCGGGGGGGAGGGGUGGCAGUAUUAAUCCGGGAAGAUUGUCCUUUCAGGGCUCUACCAUCGCCAUCGAUCCCCGGCAUUGAAUGUGUUGGCCUAGUGUGGGGCUCCGAGGAGAGCUUGGCUGUCUGGCUGGUGUACCGGCCACCUAGCGCACCAGCAGCCACCCUGUCAGGCCUGCUGGAGGCGGUGGCCGGCUGGGCCUUGGAGUUCCCUAACCUAUUGGUAUUGGGAGACUUCAACUUCCAUGCUGAUGCCACUCCCUCCUCACAGGCUCUGGACCUGGUGUCUUCCAUGGCAACACUAGGGCUCUCCCAGUUUGUUUCGGGCCCCACACAUCAAGCAGGCCACACGCUGGAUUUGAUCUUUGGCGCCGGUAUAGAUGUGAUCAUGUCUCCUCCGAUGAAGGUGCCAUGGUCUGAUCACUACGCUCUGAAAGCCAGGAUUGACUUUCCACCCCCACCCUGCUUAGGUGGCGAGCCGAUUUGGGCUCGCCCGCAGAGGCUGAUGGACCCUGAUAGAUUCCGUCAGGCCUUGCGGGACCUUGCUCCCCCUGGCGACUCAUUGAUUGAGCUUGUUGAGGGCUGGAAUACCCAGCUCCUGGCAGCCAUUGAUGAGAUCGCACCUAAGCGCCCUCUGCGACCCCGCAGAAACCGGGCUCCCUGGUUUACCGAGGAGCUUCGGAAAAUGAAGCGGGACCUCAGACGGCUAGAGCGAGUAUGGCGGGGUGCCCGUGACGGAGCCUCAAGAACAUCUUAUAGGGUUUUUAUGAAAACCUAUGAGAUGGCAGUGAAGGCCGCUAAGAAGUCUUACUUCUCGGCCUCCAUUGCAUCCGCUAGCUCUCGCCCGGCGCAAUUAUUUAGUAUAAUUCGGUCUUUAACGUCCCUUGAAGGACAGCCAAAUUUAAAUAACAAUCUGACACACAGCUGUGAGGCAUUUGCGAGCUUUUUUGCGGAGAAGGUCCUGUUGCUCCGCCAUGACCUCCCUGCCAAUUUGGAUACAAUAAAGGAACUGGAGGCCCCUCGACUGUCCUCGGGUCAGUAUUGGACCACUUUGACCGGAUAUCUCCAGCUGAUGUGGACAGAUUCCUCCAAGCUGGAAAGC
rnacentral:lncRNA from 1 species